rnacentral:rRNA from 1 species
GCAUAUCAAUAAGCGGAGGAAAAGAAACCAACAGGGAUUGCCCUAGUAACGGCGAAGUGAAGCGGCAACAGCUCAAAUUUGAAAUCUGGCGCAAGCCCGAGUUGUAAUUUGUAGAGGAUGCUUCUGGGUAGCGACCGAUCUAAGUUCCUUGGAACAGGACGUCAUAGAGGGUGAGAAUCCCGUAUGUGACCGGCCCGCACCCUUUACGUAGCUCCUUCGACGAGUCGAGUUGUUUGGGAAUGCAGCUCUAAAUGGGAGGUAAAUUUCUUCUAAAGCUAAAUACCGGCCAGAGACCGAUAGCGCACAAGUAGAGUGAUCGAAAGAUGAAAAGUACUUUGGAAAGAGAGUUAAAAAGCACGUGAAAUUGUUGAAAGGGAAGCGCCUGCAACCAGACUUCGUGGCAGUGUUCCGCCGGUCUUCUGACCGGUUUAUUCUCUGUCGCGAGGCCAUCAUCGUCUAGGCCCGCCGGAUAAGACCUUAGGAAUGUAGCUCACCUUCGGGGGAGUGUUAUAGCUUAUGGUGAUGCGGCGAGGCUUGGGCGAGGUCCGCGCUUCGGCAAGGAUGAUGGCGUAAUGGUUGUCGGCGGCCCGUCUUGAAACACGGACCAAGGAGUCUAACAUCUAUGCGAGUGUUCGGGUGUCAAACCCCUACGCGUAAUGAAAGUGAACGGAGGUGGGAACCGCAAGGUGCACCAUCGACCGAUCCUGAUGUCCUCGGAUGGAUUUGAGUAAGAGCAUAGCUGUUGGGACCCGAAAGAUGGUGAACUAUGCCUGAAUAGGGUGAAGCCAGAGGAAACUCUGGUGGAGGCUCGCAGCGGUUCUGACGUGCAAAUCGAUCGUCAAAUUUGGGUAUAGGGGCGAAAGACUAAUCGAACCAUCUAGUAGCUGGUUCCUGC